rnacentral:rRNA from 1 species
GUCUACAGCCACGCCACCCUGAACAUGCCCGAUCUCUUCUGAUCUCGGAAGCUAAGCAAGGUCAGGCCUGGUUAGUACUUGGAUGAGAGACCUAGGAAUACCAGGUGCUGUAGGCA